UGUAUAGACCAAUCAAGGUCUCAAAGGAAAGAGGCGAGUGCCUGUGCACGCGCCAGAAGCGAGUAGAGGAGGCACUAAGAGCCGUGUCAAUCACGCCCUCAAUCAGCGCCUAUCAUCUUCUCGUAAUAUCCGCUUCAACGGUUACCAACCACGUGGCAGUGAUCGUGGCAUUAAAGGAGCUUUCCAUGCAGAGGCCUUUGUUGGGCCUAAGUGUGAUCGUGGACCUAAAGCGUUCUCUGGGCCUGCCAAGACAAAUGGAUUGUUAGUCCAUCACAGUCCACAGGCUACAAAGGAGAUUAAAAGGGCUGUUAAGUGGGGGCCUAGCAACCAAUUAUCUUUUUCUUUACAGAAUGAUAAGUCCAACCCACAUUUUAUGCCCAAGCCCAAUCAUGAAGUAGAUUAGUCACGAGUUGGGCCACAAGUGAGUAAUCCAAAGAGAAAGGUAAUGCGGAGGCCCAAUAACUUGAUUUCAGUUUCUUUUAUUAAUUCCAAGCCUAGCCCACCUAUCUCUACAGAUAUUAGCAACUCAUAGAGUUAUCAUCUUAACGGCGCCGCUGCAUCUUUUUGGAAUUCGCCGGAAAAGAGGAGAUGGAUGAAUCUCUCUGCUGCCGAGGCUGGUGUAAGAUCUGCCGAGAAGGUUUUUCGUCAUUCUAAGUGUUGUGCCGACAUAUCAACUUCAUCCGCUUUUGUUUCUACACAGCCAAAGGGACAAAUUUCCAGAUUCUUGUCUCGGGAUUCUCACAGAAAUCGUCAUGGAGUUAGAUGGUCUAGAAAAGAUAAGCAGAAGUGGCCUUCUACUAACGAUCUAGUUAUGUCCUCAGUGUCACACCCUCGGAGCCCUUUCACUGCUCCAUCUUCUUUUUCUACCCCUUCUUGUGAGGUGUCGAGGGGUGACACAGAUGUGUUGGAAUCGGAGAAGAGGGUGUGGGCUGUCAAUUACGCAUAAUGGACCUGAAGCUAUGAAUGGUUUGAAUACGAAAGGAAAGGUUGUUGGUGAGACUGUUUUUUUUUGGGCAGUUGCAUGUUGCUGCCUGCGCAGUUAAGGAUUUUUCUGAAGGGGUUACAGUUUGUGUGGGGAGAGACCUGCAUUUUCAGUUGUCCAAUAAUGAGGCCGCGGCUCUGUUUAAAGAGCUUCGAUUUUAAGUGUAGCAUUGAAAGGCCUUAAUUGCUUGCCAUUUGCAGGGACAUAGGAGAAUGAGGCUGGUAGUUUCGUAGGAAUGAGCGACUUUGCUACAAGAUUAGAUUCUACAUAUGAGAAUGAAAGAUAUUUUGAAGAGGAGAUGGAUGGUGAUUUGGGGUCUAUCCAACAGGUUUGCUCUAAUGAGCUUGCCCCUUGGAUGGAAAAUGUUUCAAACAUAUUAGUGGAGGAACCACUGGUUGUUAUGUAACCUGACUGUUAUGAAGAGGCUACUGAUAUGGGGAAAGAUUGGAUAGUUGAUAAUAUUAGAGUUACUAGUGAGCUACUGGGAGUAUCAUUAGAGGGUAAUGACGAUUAGACACUAUCCAUCCUUCAAGAAGUUGUGGAAGGAAGAAAGGUCGUAAUGACCAAUGAAGUCAUGAACACGAGGCCCUUAUUGUCCUGGAAAGGGGCACAGGAAAUUAAGAAUCUCAUCUCUGAAGUCAACUAUGAAGGGAAGAGAGGAGUGGUGAAGGAAAGGGGAAGGACCAAGAGUAGGAGUUUUAGGAAGGGAGGAGGGGAGAUAAUUUUAUUUGGUUUUUAAUGAAGCUACGAAUCAUUACAUGGAAUGUUCGUGGUCUCAAUGAUCCGAACAAGAGGAGGGUGGUGAAGGUAGCGUUAAGGAAGUGGGGUGCCCAGAUUGUUUGUUUACAAGAAACUAAGCUGGCAUCCAUUUUUGACGGGGUGGUUAGGAGUUUGUGGGGAGGGAGGUUUGUGGAAUGGGAGGCCUUGAAUGUUAUAGGUACUUUGGGUGGGAUUUUAGUCAUGUGGGACAGCAGAUGGUUAUCUAUAACGGACGUGUGGUUGGGAAGAUCUUCUGUGUCUUGUGUGUUUAAGAUGGAAGAGGACAAUUUCAGAUGGGUUUUCACUGGAGUUUAUGGACCGGUUGUUGAUGAUAAACGACUUAUUUUCUGGGAGGAGUUUAGCCAUGUCCAAGGAUUGUGGUCUCUCCCUUGGUGCUUGGAAGGAGAUUUUAAUUUUGUCAGGUCCCAGUCAGAGGGGUCUACAGGGGGAAGAAGGUCCUUAGAAAUGGAUCAAUUUUUUGAUUUUAUCGAUGAGCAUUUUCUUGUUGACUUACCAAUGGAAGGUGCAGCCUAUACUUGGUCGAAUGGUAGGGAUCCAAUCACUCUUUCAAGACUGGACAUAUUUUUAAUUUCUGGGGAGUGGGAAAAGAAAUUCCCAGAUGUCGUUCAGGCGGUGUUAGCAAGGGUCACUUCUGAUCAUAUUCUUUUGGUCUUGGAUUGUAGGGGUUUGUGUUCUCGAAGAUCCUCGUUUAGAUUUGAGAAUAUGUGGCUGCGUGUGGAGGAUUUCCAAGGGAAAGUCAGAUCUUGGUGGAAGGGAGAACAGAGUCUUGUUGAUUUUUCUGAAAUUGAUCGUCUUGAGGAGGCGGGUGGGGAUGUGGAGUCUCUACGUUCUAGGAUAGCUUCCUGUCAGGUUGUUCUUGCUAAGAUUGCUAGUAUGGAGGAGAUUUCGUGGUGACAAAAAUCUCGGGCUCUCAAGCUAAAAGAAGGAGAACGGAAUACAAAAUUUUUCCACAGAUUAGCUAAUGCUCAUAGGAGGAGUAAUCAUAUAAGAAGAAUUCAGGUAGAAGGUGUAGAGUUAUGGAGGGAGGAAGGGGUGCGUAACGGGAUUGCUUCUUUUUACCAGAAGCUUUAUACCGAGCCAUUAGUUUGGAGGCCCAAACUUGAUGGUCUCCAUUUUGAGGAUAUUUCUGAGCUGGAUAGAGAUAGGAUUGAGAAUCCUUUUACUGAAGAAGAAGUUCUAAAGGCUUUAUCAAAUUGUAAUGGGGACAAAGCUCUGGGGCCUGACGGUUUUACUAUGCAUUUCCUGAUGGAAAGUUGGGCGGUAGUAAGAAAUGAGGUAAUGGGUACUUUUCAGGAGUUUCAUUCUACUGGUGUCGUUGAGAAGUCGCUUAAUACUUCAUUUAUUGCCCUUAUCCCCAAGAAGGGAGGCACUUCAGACAUAAAGGAUUUCUGUCCAAUUAGUUUGGUGGGUUGUAUUUACAAACUUAUUGCUAAGGUGCUUGCUCUAAGGAUGAGGGAAGUUAUGGAUGGGAUUAUCUCGGACUCCAAGAAUGCUUUUGUUGGAGGACGGCAAAUUCUUGAUUCAGUUCUUAUUGCUGGCGAAUGUGUGGAUUCCAGAUUACGUAGUGGUGUUCUUGGAGUAUUAUGCAAACUUGAUAUUGAGAAAACGUACAAUCAUGUGAACAGGAAUUUCCUACUCUAUUUUUUUUUACAAAGAAUGGGGUUUGGAAGUAACUUGUCUCUCGUUUGUCAAGUUUUUAAUUCUUGUGAAUGGUUCUCCCGCUGGUUUCAUUGGUUGCACUAGGGGUAUAAGACAAUGUGAUCCUUUGUCAUCUUUCCUUUUUCUUGUUGUUACGAAGGGUUUAAGCAGACUUAUGCGCAUGGCAAAUGACCUUGGUUUUAUUAAGGGAUUCAAGGUGGGUAGAAAUUCAGUCCAUCAGAUGGAGAUCUCUCAUUUACUUUUUGUAGACGAUACCCUGGUUUUCUGUGAUGCUGAUGUGUCUCAACUCCGAUAUUUGAGGUGUAUCCUGGCUUGUUUUCAGGUGGCUUCCGGGCUAAAGGUCAAUGCGGCUAAGAGUGUGCUUGUCCCAGUAGGGAAUGUUCAGGGUAUUUCCUCUUUAGUUGCAGUUCUUGGUUGCAAGGUGAGUUCUUUCCCUAUUCCCUAUUUGAGUUUGCCCCUAGGGAUCUCUUCAAGGCUAGUGGGGAGUUGGGAUUCAGUGAUUGACAUGUAUGCGAAGAGAUUGGUAGGAUGAAAGAAGCAAUACUUGUCUAAGGGGGGCAAAGUUACUCUUAUUAAGAGUAUGUUAUCGAGCCUCCCCACUUAUUUUCUUUCUAUAUUCCAAAUCCCUUGGUCCGUUGUGGAUAGGAUUGAAAAAAAUCAAAGGGAUUUCCUAUGUGGAGGAAGGGGUGAUGAGUUCAAGUAUCACCUUGUCAGAUGGGAGUAAGUUUGCACGCCUAUGAAAUUGGGUGGUCUUGGCAUAAGACAAUUAGUUCCUUUCAAUUAAGCUCUACUGGGUAAAUGGUUAUGGAGAUAUAGGAGGGAAAAACAUCGUCCUUGGCGCAGGUUAGUCUCUUGUCAGUUUGGGGAAGAGGUGGAGGCUGGAGGCUAGUCUAUACAUCCGGUUUCCCUUAUGGGAGGACUAGGGAUGUGGAAGUCUAGUCGGAAUGGGAUGCUUUUUCUGCUCAUAUCAGGUUCAAAGUCCGUGAUGGACGUCGAGUUCAUUUUUGGGAAGAUCUUUGGUGCUGUGAUUAGCCACUAUCUCGUACAUUUCCUAGAUUAUUCAGUAUUACAGUUAAUAAACAUGCCUACGUAGCUGAUUGUUAUCAGCUUGAUAGCAGUGGGAUUACGUGGGACGUGUACUUUCGGCGCUCUUUUCAGGAUUGAGAGUUGGAUGAGAUGUGUGUUUUUCUGAAUCUAUUGUAUCGGCAGGAGGGUGUUGGCAGAGAUAUUAACGACUUGAUUUGGGUUCCUUCUUCCCACGGUCGCUUCGAAGUAAGAUUCUUGUUCUUAUGUCUGUUUAAUUUUGAUAAUCGUGACUUCUCGUGGAAGACUAUUUGGUGAUUCAUGGCUCCAACUAGGGUAGCUUUCUUUGUUUGGACCGCUAUUUAGGGAAAGAUUUUGACACUUGAUAAUUUGAGGAAAAAGGGGCAAUUGUAUUGUUAAUUGGUGUUGUCUAUGCAAGAAAGAUGGAGAGUCAGUUGAUCACUUCCUUAUGCAUUGUCCUGUGGCGAACAACUGUUGGAAUCUUAUUCUCGGGUUGUUUGGCAUGUGUUGGGUAAUGCCACGAUCUACUAAUGAAUUGAUUCAUGUUUGGAAAUUAAGGAUGCCGUGUGAGAAGGGAUAUACGUGAUUUCUGGAGAAUUGUCCCACAUUGUAUAUGGUGGUGCAUUUGGAAGGAGAGAAAUAGCAGAAUGUUUGAAGGAAAAGAGUCGUCUACGGCAAUUGUGAAACUUCACAUUCUUCGUUCUCUUUUCAAUUAUGUGAAGAGGAGCUCUUGUUCAUUUUCUGAUGAUUUAAUUAUUUUUUUGGAUUCUUUGGGGCCUUAGCCCCGGUUUCACUUUAUACAGACGUGUUCCCCUUUUGAACGCCUUUUUAUGUUAUUAUUACUUAUAUAAAAAAAAAAGUUAUAGUGUGCCAUGCUUUGCGUUGAAGCAAUUUUCUUAUUGAAAUUAGAGAAUGGAGGGUUUUUAGGAUUUCAGGAAGAACUUAAUUGAGUUAAAAUGUUUUGGCUUUAGGUUUUGAUGGUGUGUUACAUGAUAUAAGAUGUUUAGGGUGUGUUUAGCUGCAUGAAAUUGAAGCCUUGAAAUUGGAAUUUGUAUGAGAAAUUUUUGGUUCAAUUUUCUUAAUUUUUAUCAAAUUCCACCAAUUUCAAGACUCCAAUUCCAUGAAAUCGAAGACGCCCUUAGUGCUUUUAUGGCCCAAAUGCUUUUUUUAUUGCCACGUGACGAUGUAGUGGCAAGAGUACUGCUCUUUGAAAGUGUAAUAUUGCUCUUGAUUCAGGAGUUUUUGACACUAGUGUAGUGCCUGUAUGUGUUUUUGACAUGAGUGUGAAACUGAAAAUUAGUAUGGAAAUUGACGAGUUCACAACAAAUGGUUUGUGGAUUGAGUACUUUUGAGGUUGAAAAAUAAUACGUUUAACAUGUAGAGCAUGUGUUUAGCAUUUUUGUUAUGGAUUAGCGAAGAAAUAAAUUAUACUCACACAUACAUAUCUUCACGAAAGCUCGAACUCCUAACAUCUCUUCGAAAAGUAGGAGUCUGAUACCGCUAGGCCACUGACCUGUUGGUAAAUAGAUAUCUUUUUCUCUUGAUUAUUAUAAAAAUAGAAAUAAAAAUAAAAAUAAUUAUAAUUAUAAUUAUAAUUAUAAUUAAUUUAUGAUGGAAGAAAUCAAUCAGAUUUUAGUAAAAUUUUAUUUAUUUCACCAAGGAAAAAAAAAGAAUAUUUUUUCCUUAAAUAGGAGAAUUUUUUUUAUUUUUUUUGCUUCCUUCAAUGAUUUUUAUUGGGGCUAAUUUUUUUUUUUUUUUUUAAAUAUAUUAUGCUCCAUACGAAAAUAAUAAUUUUGAAAAUUUUAUUGCAAAUGAUCCGAAUAUUUUAUAAAAAAUAAAAUAAGAUUAUUGCUGUAGAUUUUUAAAUUGUCCAUUUCUCUCUUGUUAUGAAGUUUUGUUAAACAACUCUUAUAUUUUUGGAAUCUUUUUUUAUAAGCUUUCCGUGCAUAUAUUAUAUGCAAUAUUUGGAUUAUUUUAUAAGUUUUUCGUGAAUAUAUUAUUUACAAUAUUUGGAUAUACGAAGAUAUAAAUUUUUGAAGUUCGAAAAAAUUAAAAUUUAAAUAAAGGGCAUUUUUGUCCAAAUAUCAAGUAUUUUACCCUUUUAGAUAGUUGAGGUUUCUUUCAUAAAAAAUUAGUCGGGAAUUUAUUAAAAAUGGUUACAAGUCGAAGGAAUAUGACGAGGUUUACUGAAAAGGGUACAAAGGGAAUUUUUAUACUUUAUCCUAAUUUAUUUUUUUAUUUAUCAUUUAUUAUUUUUAGUCAUAUAUAAUUGACACGAAAUAUGUAUUUUUUCGAAUGUAUCUAACAUUUGUAAUGCUAUUACUGAUAAGUAUUGAUCAAAUUUAAUAACUUUCUAUAAAUUUGCGACUAUUAACAUUUAUUUGGUGAUUGUGGGUAUGCAAUAUUUGAACACUUGUAAACUCUAAAUGUUGGGAACUCUAUAUAAGUUGAUUGCAUUGAGGUAUAAAAUUGUUUAGAACCUAUCGCUUUCGUUUGGAGCAGUGAUCUUUCGUUUGGAGCAGUGAUCCAACAAACAGACACAUUUGUUACAUCAAUUGUUAUACACUCAGCACAUUUUGAUUGCAGCGGAGAAACUAGGAAGGAAAUGACAAUUCAUCCUUUAUUUAUAAGAUUCCAUAAGAUAAAGAAAUUCUAGAUCAUACACAAUAUUAAAAAACUAGAUAAAAUUCUAAACAGAUACUUCAUAAAAAUCUACCUAAAUAUCUACAUUCACUUCUCUACAUUUCCACACAAUUAUAGAAACAAGCGCACUCAACUGUGACUCUUUUUCCCAAUCGACUUUCUAGCAAGGACGUGUGGUUCGGGUUAGAUAAGGUUCAUUUAAUUGAAAAACUCCCAUGAGUUGACUGGGGUGUGAUACCUGUUGAGUCUAAUUUUGCUUUCUCUUUUGCCUUCGGGUACUGUUGCUUGGUGGAAGUCUGUUUGGCGUGUGACAUCCCUUCUAAAAUCAAGCAUUUUUAAUGUUGCCAUGAUGCACUUCCUACGGGGUUAGCUCGAGGUUUGCGACUUUCUCCUUGUUGUGCUCGCCGUGGAGUUGAGGACGAUAGUCUUGUUCAUUUUUUUUUUUUUUUUUUGAAGUGCCCUCGUUCUCUUCAGGUGUAGAAAUUGUCCCCGUUUCGGCUGGAUUUUUCAAAUGCCGUUUUUGCUUCCUUUUUAGACUGGUGGUUGUGUAUUUUGCGCCAUGUUGUUUCUUCUCCUGCCGGCAAAUCUGGUAUGGGGCUGCUUUCUUUUUGUCUUUGGGCGUUGUGGAAGGCUCGUUAUAGGAAACUCAUGCCUUUUAAGAUUAAGACUUCCUUGCAACCUUCAGGAUUGACACCAAGAGAUAAGAAUGUCUAUAUUUCGGUUUAAUUCAUAUGUAACUAGUUGAUGCAUCUAGAUUCACUAAGGCAUCCGUUUUAUGCUGCUCCAAAUGUCUGCCUUUCACAUUUGCAGGCCCAAUUCAUCUUUGAGAUUAAAGGCCUCAAGGGAGCCUUUGGGGCUGACUCGAGAACUCCCAAAUAACAAAGAUACGAGCAUAGCUGGAGCUGAAAAUGGGCGUGAUGUAUUCAAUGAGAUGAAACAUCGAUUUCUGAAUUUCAAAAAACAUACAUACUU